AGCAGAUAUAUGCCCAAAUACUUAUAAAAAUCUUUGUCUUAGUAUCAAUAGACAAAAUGGACAAAUGGGAAGGGAGGAUAUCUGGGAACAACUCAAAUAACCAACUAUGGCACACCAUCUAAUAGAGUGCGCUCAGCCUCUAUAUCCACAAGCUCAGCAUCCACAGAUUGAACUCACGAUGAGUCAAGAACUUUGAAAGAACAAUUGCAUGUGCACUGACCACAUACAGACUUUUUUCCUCCUCCUUUUUGCAAAGAAAGAUUUAUUAAUGUAUUAUGGUCAUGCGGCAGGAAGAGGCAAAGUAAGCACUUCAGCUCCUUUUCUGGGCACAGACAUAAGCUGUACUGCAUGACGUCUCCCUGACUUCCGUGUUGUAUGGAACAAACAAGAUGUAUGUGCUAACACAGCCAGUGACAGAUCAGUGCUCACUGCCUUGCCUGCAUCCUCUAAAGGAAGUCCUCCCUCGCCUUUGCAUGCACACACCUCCUUGGUAACUAUCCGGAGUCCAGGGAGGAAAUCCCUGGGAAGAAUGCAGUGACAAAAAUACUUGGCCACAUCCAGAACUCCCCUGGUGGUAGCUGGUCAGAGCCCAUGAGCUUGCCUUCAAAGCUGUUGGGUUAGAGAAUGAAUCUAGAGUCUGGCACUGUCACAAUCCUAGUGGUAGCCUUAGGAAAAUACCACCCAAGCACUGUCAGUCCUAUUUCUGCUCUUGUUAACUAAGGGUACCAGUAUUUCCUUCAAAAGUGAGUUGGCAGUAUUCGGUAGUAGAAUAUAGCUGCAGUGUCCACUUUUCUUUAUUCAAAGGAAGCAACAAGAAGUCAGAAUGAUAAGAGGACACCGGAGAGGAAGUGGAGGCAUGUAGCACAGGCUGGGGUUAGUGUAACUAGAGCUACACUUGUUGGCCCUUGGUAUAUGCAGGCUCUGUGCUGAGCGCCAUGCACCGCACCUCUGAAUUGUGAGCAUUACUCCCAUUUCACAGCUGGGGAAAUGACAGCCUGAACAUGUGAAGGAAACUGCCUGAGGCCAUCCAGCUUGGAAGUGGCAGAGCCAGAAUUUGAACUCCAGCUGUCGACUACCAAGGCCCCUGUACCUCGUCCCCAGUGCUGCCUGUGAGUGCUAAGGGGCCAGGAUCUUCCCCAGCUGACUUGGAGGGGAUAAAGCAAUAAUCCUCUUCAUAUGACCUCCCUGGGACGCCACUCCCUCAUCUGUUCAGGAAACAGAUAGAAUUAACUGGACUUGGUGGUCCUCUACGUCUCAGUGCUCUGCAGGAGAUACGUUGUAAACAGAGGAGUAGCUCUGCUGCCACCUUGGCCCCUGGGUGUAAACUGCUCGUGAAAAGGAGCUCAGAAUCCUCUGCCUCCUGAGAGACAUCUGGACAUUCAGGGAGGAAAUGUCAGCCACUACCCUGCAGGAGAUGCCAGCAGAAGCUUGAAGAAAAGCCAGCUUUACACUAAACUGCUCAGCCCACGGAAAACACCUGGGAGCCAUUUACCACUAGGACGCACAAGCGAAAUAUUUCUCUGCUAAAUCCAAGUCCACUGUGUAAUUAGGUCCCUCUGCAGCCCUAUUGUUCUCCAUCACUAUUGUCAUUUCCUUCACAACAUGUGCUACAGGUGUUUCUUGUGGUUUGUCGAUUGCCUGUCUCCACCUCUAGAGGCAGCUGGUCCACUAAGGUCCAGCACACAGAAAGUCUCAGAUGUCUGUCAUAUUAAUCUUUAAA